AUUGAACGCUAGCGGUAUGCUUUAUACAUGCAAGUCGAACGGCGUGGCGCACGUGUGCGUAAUAUAUCGGAACCUGCUCAGUAGCCGGGGUUAUUUACUCUUAACUGUGGUUACUACCGCAUACCAUUCUUGCGUCCGUUAUCGGAUUAGCUAGUUGGUGGGGUAAAGGCUCACCAAGGCAACGAUCCGUAGAUGGUUUGAGAGGUCGACCAGCCACACUGGGACUGAGACACGGCCCAGACUCCUACGGGAGGCAGCAGUGGGGAAUUUUGGACAAUGGGGGAAACCCUGAUGCAGCAAUCCCGCGUGUAUGAUGAAGGCCUUCGGGUUGUAAAGUACUUUUGGCAGAGAAGCGGUAGCUGAUGAGUAAGCACCGGCUAACUACGUGCCAGCAGCCGCGGUAAUUC
rnacentral:rRNA from 1 species